UCUCACUAUAAAUUUGAAGACACUUCCUUUUUCCGGUCUCUUUGGACCGCGAGGUGUCUAUAUGCGGCGUGUGUUCACGUGUUCUCCCACUAAACUCAAACUAGUGGAUACUAUGUCCGGAUGUGCUGCAGAUGGAGGAGGAUAUGCUGGAAGAGGACGACUUAACUGUGUGUACAUUAUUAAUGUGAGAACGGCCUGGUAACAGCCAAGGCUAUUGUUGCCAUCAAGAAUCCAGGCGAUGUUGGUGUAUCUCCUCCAGGAGUACUGGACAGGAAAACUGAUGAGGGGUGCAGAAACUACAGUGGAAGGCUGUUGCCCCAGGGGCUGUGGUUAAAAAAAACAAAUCUCCAGGUAGCUCCCGGGAGAAGAUGUGCCUGAACUCUGGUUCUACAGAGACCUCGAGGAGAGGACCGAGUGCCCAAACUGCUGCUGAAGACUGGUCUGCAACCCACAGCACAGGCCUCCGACUGGGACGGUGCUGGCUCUGACUGGUCCAAAGUCAUGUCCAUCAAAAACACACAAAAGGGAAAGCACUGAGCUGAGAAAUUAAUAAAGUUGGCAGUUUUUU